rnacentral:rRNA from 1 species
GACGAACGCUGGCGGCGUGCCUAAUACAUGCAAGUAGAACGCUGAAGGAGGAGCUUGCUUCUCCGGAUGAGUUGCGAACGGGUGAGUAACGCGUAGGUAACCUGCCUGGUAGCGGGGGAUAACUAUUGGAAACGAUAGCUAAUACCGCAUAAGAGUAGAUGUUGCAUGACAUUUGCUUAAAAGGUGCAAUUGCAUCACUACCAGAUGGACCUGCGUUGUAUUAGCUAGUUGGUGGGGUAACGGCUCACCAAGGCGACGAUACAUAGCCGACCUGAGAGGGUGAUCGGCCACACUGGGACUGAGACACGGCUCAGACUCCUACGGGAGGCAGCAGUAGGGAAUCUUCGGCAGUGGACGGAAGUCUGACCGAGCAACGCCGCGUGAGUGAAGAAGGUUUUCGGAUCGUAAAGCUCUGUUGUAAGAGAAGAACGAGUGUGAGAGUGGAAAGUUCACACUGUGACGGUAUCUUACCAGAAAGGGACGGCUAACUACGUGCCAGCAGCCGCGGUAAUACGUAGGUCCCGAGCGUUGUCCGGAUUUAUUGGGCGUAAAGCGAGCGCAGGCGGUUAGAUAAGUCUGAAGUUAAAGGCUGUGGCUUAACCAUAGUACGCUUUGGAAACUGUUUAACUUGAGUGCAAGAGGGGAGAGUGGAAUUCCAUGUGUAGCGGUGAAAUGCGUAGAUAUAUGGAGGAACACCGGUGGCGAAAGCGGCUCUCUGGCUUGUAACUGACGCUGAGGCUCGAAAGCGUGGGGAGCAAACAGG